GUAUUGAUGAAGAGUCCCAAACUAGGACGAAACAGCUGGCUGUCCAUUAC
rnacentral:hammerhead_ribozyme from 1 species